rnacentral:rRNA from 1 species
UACGUAGGAGGCAAGCGUUGUCCGGAAUUACUGGGCGUAAAGCGCGUGUAGGUGGUGGGACAAGUCUGCUGUGAAAGCGCCUGGCUUAACCGGGCGAGGUCGGCGGAAACUGUCCGACUCGAGGACGGUAGAGGGGGGUGGAAUUCCCGGUGUAGUGGUGAAAUGCGUAGAUAUCGGGAGGAACACCUGUGGCGAAAGCGGCGCACUGGACCACAACUGACGCUGAGGCGCGAAAGCUAGGGGAGCAAACAGG